rfam:Salmo salar isolate Sally breed double haploid chromosome ssa10, whole genome shotgun sequence.
UACAUGCAUAACUGUAAGUUGCUUUGGAUAGAAGUGUCUGCUAAAUGCCAUAUA